rnacentral:lncRNA from 1 species
AUGCUCAAAAUUCUCCAAGCUAGGCUUCAGCAAUAUGUGAACCGUGAACUUCCUGAUGUUCAAGCUGGUUUUAGAAGAGGCAGAGGAACCAGAGAUCAAAUUGCCAACAUCUGCUGCAUCAUGGAAAAAGCAAGAGAGUUCCAGAAAAACAUCUAUUUCUGCUUUAUUGACUACGCCAAAGCCUUUGACUGUGUGGAUGACAAUCAACUGUGGAAAAUUCUGAAAGAGAUGGGAAUACCAGACCACCUGACCUGCCUCUUGAGGAAUCUGUAUGCAGGUCAGGAAGCAACAGUUCGAACUGGACAUGGAACAACAGACUGGUUCCAAAUAGGAAAAGGAGUACAUCAAGGCUGUAUACUGUCACCCUGCUUAUUUAACUUAUAUGCAGAGUAUAUCAUGAGGAACGCUGGACUGGAAGAAACACAAGCUGGAAUCAAGAUUGCCGGGAGAAAUAUCAAUCACCUCAGAUAUGCAGAUGAUACCACCUUUAUGGCAGAAAGUGAAGAGGAACUAAAAAGCCUCUUGAUGAAAGUGAAAGUAGAGAGUGAAAAAGUUGGCUUAAAGCUCAACAUUCAGAAAACAAAGAUCAUGGCAUCUGGUCCCAUCACUUCAUGGGAAAUAGAUGGGGAAACAGUGGAAACAGUGUCAGACUUUAUUUUUAUGGGCUCCAAAAUCACUGCAGAUGGUGACUGCAGCCAUGAAAUUAAAAGACACUUACUCCUUGGAAGAAACGUUAUGACCAACCUAGAUAGUGUAUUCAAAAGCAGAGACAUUACUUUGCCUACUAAGGUCCAUCUAGUCAAGGCUAUGGUUUUUCCUGUGGUCAUGUAUGGAUGUGAGAGUUGGACUGUGAAGAAGGCUGAGCACCGAAGAAUUGAUGCUUUUGAACUGUGGUGUUGGAGAAGACUCUUGAGAGUCCCUUGGACUGCAAGGAGAUCCAACCAGUCCAUUCUGAAGGAGGUCAACUCUGGGAUUUCUUUGGAAGGAAUGAUGCUAAAGCUGAAACUCCAGUACUUUGGCCACCUCAUGCGAAGAAUUGACUCAUUGGAAAAGACUCUGAUGCUGGGAGGGAUUGGAGGCAGGAGGAGAAGGGGACAACCGAGGAUGAGAUGGCUGGAUGGCAUCACGGACUCGAUGGACGUGAGUCUGAACGAACUCCGGGAGUUGGUUAUGGACAGGGAGGCCUGGCAUGCUGCGAUUCAUGGGGUCACAAAGAGUUGGACAUGA